rnacentral:rRNA from 1 species
AACCUCCGCAAUGUGAGAAAUCGCGACGGGGGGAUCCCAAGUGCCAUUCUUAACGGGAUGGCUUUUCAUUAGUGUAAAGAGCUUUUGGAAUAAGAGCUGGGCAAGACCGGUGCCAGCCGCCGCGGUAACACCGGCAGCUCUAGUGGUAACAAUUUUUAUUGGGCCUAAAGCGUCCGUAGCCGGUUUAAUAAGUCUCUGGUGAAAUCCUGUAGCUUAACUGUGGGAAUUGCUGGAGAUACUAUUAGACUUGAGACCGGGAGAGGUUAGAGGUACUCCCAGGGUAGAGGUGAAAUUCUGUAAUCCUGGGAGGACCGCCUGUUGCGAAGGCGUCUAACUGGAACGGUUCUGACGGUGAGGGACGAAAGUUAGGGGCGCGAACCGGAUUUAGAUACCCGGGUAGUCCUAACUGUAAACGAUGCGGACUUGGUGUUGGGGUGGCUUUGAGCUGCUCCAGUGCCGAAGGGAAGCUGUUAAGUCCGCCGCCUGGGAAGUACGGUCGCAAGACUGAAACUUAAAGGAAUU